UUUACAUUUACGGACAUAAUAACAUUUAUUAACGAGUAUUUAUUAAUAAGUGCACAUAUAAAGCGCUUCUUUAUAAUUUACAACAUUUACGCGAGUCUUCUAUAUUUGGUUCUGCAGUGUAACAUGUAAAACUUAUUGUCUUUAUUAAUGAUUGAGGAAAGAAGAUAUUUAAUGCAAAUAUUUUCAAAUAUAAAAGUCAACGAUAUGUGCUUGCUUUAAAAAAUUAAGCUGAAGCAAAGCUGCCUACAAUCAACGGCGAAGCAAUAGCAGCAUAUUUUUUAUCGGUAUACCCGGGAACGCACAAAAAUCACCGGAACAUUCGAACGAUUUUCACUCAUCCUAGAAUUUAUUAAACUAUGAUAGAUAGCGCAACCUUUUCGCACAAAAAUCACCGGAACAUUCGAACGAUUUUCACUCAUCCUAGAAUUUAUUAAACUAUGAUAGGUAGCGCAACCUUUUCGCCGCCGAUACUAGACAUCACGUACCUAAAUACAUGUUAUGUACAAUAAAAAUCGCUCAUUUCCAGCGAAAUACCUUCAAAAAUGCGAAAGUUUUGGCCAUAUUUUUAACGUCAUGUAAGGAAAAGAGAAUUGCGUUAUUUUUAUAUCAGUAUAUUUCUAUCACUAAAUAU